ensembl:lncRNA
GCUAAAAGGUGCAUCAUCCCAAUGGUCCUUUAAGGUGUUUGUGCCUUGUUCAUGAAGGUAUCCUGUGGAUUUACACGUCCCUGGAUCUGCCAGCAGGGUGUUGAUUUGUUUUUUUUUUUUUGUAGUAGCUGCUUAGAAAUUACUGAAUGUUGGUCAGACUUCUAAAAUAAUCUCAGUGCAGAACGGACUCUUUUUCCACAACGUCACCAGAGCAAAAGCUUCUCAAUCACACAAAUGCACACAUAUAAUGUACACGAGUACUUUGACAGAUAUUAUAAAACCUCUAAAUACUUACAUUAAAAAGAGCAGUUAAACAGAUUCACCAAAACUAUGAAAACAUGGAAACUUCCUCCUCUAUUCCACAUUUCCUGCCAUUUGCAGAAAAUUGAAAGUAAUUUGUGGAGAAUUCAACUUACCAAACAAGAAACAAAAAGGAUAUAUGUAAAUUGUAAAAAUACAAUUUUGAAUUUGUGUAAAUGAUGUUCUAGGGCAGGGGUGUCAAACUCAUUCUAGUCCAGGUUCCACAUUCAGCCCAGUUUGAUCUCCAAUGACCAGUAAAAUCACAGCAUAAUAACCUAUAAAUAUUUCCUAAUAUUUCCUUUGUUUUAGUGCAAAAAAGUGUGUUCUGGAAAUGUUCACAUUUAAGGAAUUAUCUUUUUACAAAACAUUAUGAACAACCCCAAAUUUCUUCAGAAAAAUUCAAGUUCAAUUUCAUCAACAUUCAGCCUCAGUUUAUCAUUUCCACAUUACAACUUCCAGAUCACAGAGUGUCUACAAAGGAACACAACAUUUAGUCACAGAUAUCUGGAAUUGAAUGAUGUAGUAUUUUACUUUAUGAUCAAAACCAGUCAGACAAAAAAAAGACAAAAAACAACAAAAACUAUACAAAAUAUUACAAAAAUGAGACAAACGACACAAAACAACACAAAAAAGAGACAAAAAAAUUAGACAAAAAAGUUACAAAGCAACAAAAAAGAUGAGACCAACGACACAAGCGAGACAAAAAUGACACAAAACAACAAAAACGAUACACAAAACAAUGAAUAAAACAAAGCACGAAAUGACAAAAAUAAGAAAACAAAUACUAGCGAGACAAACAGGAAAACUCAAAACGACAAAAACGAGAAACAAAACGACGAAAACAUGAGACAGAAACGACAAAAGUCAGACAAAAAAACCCAAAAAAUAUUACAAAACGGAGACACAAAACAACAAAAAAUGAGACUAAAAAGUUACAAAGCAACAGAAAAAUUAGACAAAAAAUGACAAAAGCGAGAAACAAAAUGACGAAAAAAAAAAGACAACACAAGCAUUUUACAGAUUUACACUUUGCAUUUAAUGUCUUCUCUGUAAUUUUUACAGUUUGAGGCCGGAUUCGACCCUUUGGAAGGUCGCUUUUGGCCCACGGGCCUCAUGUUGGACACCCCUGCUCUCGGGUCAUAUAGCCUCUGAUGUUGUCACAGAUGCACCCAAAUCCAAAUCACUGAUUCAUUCACUUUUAAUAAUUAUAAUAAUGGGAAGGUGUACUUAACAGUUAGUUCUCAUUAUAACCUUCUACACAGCUCCCUUAGUAGCACUUACAAUCCAUUCAACAAUAACAAAAGCAGUGACUUUUUUGGACCUCACACCAAAACUGUUGUUUAAAUCUUCAUAAUAACACAAUCUGAGACAUUUGCGUUGCUUCUGUUCCUCACCAGGUUAAGCUCUAAACUGUGCUUGACGUACAAAGGCAAAAAAAAAUCCACACACACACGGUUUCAAAGAAAACAAACCUUUUCCUGUUUUUGAAGAUUGUCGGCACCUAUCUCUGUAGCACUUUCAAGUGAUGCAAUAUUGUAUUUGUAAUUUCUGAUUGAUUUGCACAUCAUGGCGAUGCUCAGACUGACUGCUUUGUCCAUGUAGAGAGAGAGAGAGCGAGAGAGAGAGAAAAGAGUCAAUCAGUGAAAAAUGCAAUACUUUCUACACGAGUGUGAUCUGUACCUGUCCAACUGUCUGCCUCUCUGUGUUAGUCCGUCUGUCUCCACUGUGUCUCCGUCUGGUCGACACUGUUCACCCGUCAUGGCAAUAUCAAUCCUCAACUCUUUAUAUACAUGCAUACAUACACACACAUAUGUAUGCAUAUAUAUAAAACGAAACCGUUUCCCCUUGAUUUUAUUGUGGAAUGAAUGAUCUGUGCAUUUAUUUAUUACUGAAGAUCCAC